CGGUCCCGGGGGCGAGCCGGUGGCGGCGGCGCGGUUUCCUGCUUGUGUUGCGACGUGAGCGAGUUCUGCCUGCUGGUAGAAAGGCCUCUUUGUGUCUGACCGUCUGUGCCUUUCCACCGCUGACGUUUAUUUUCCCCUCAGCUGACCGCUUGGUGUGCUGAGCCGCUGCCGUCAUGCUUCAGCUUUGAGAAAGAAAGAAGGAAAAGAAAGAAAGAAAGAAAGAAAGAAAGCCGAGUGGGAAAAAAAAGAGCAAAAGAACGUUUUGGUUUCAGCAGCUGCAGCUUUCAUUUUCACAACUCUCGAGUGUCGCGUCAGCUCAGCGGCCUCGCCGGCUGAAAGCGGCUUCUAAACCGCUCGGGCCUGUGGCUUCUCCUACGCCAGCUUCAUCUGCUGUUUCGGUGCCGGCCAAGGCCACCCAGAACACGCGCGGCUUUCCUUUCCAUUUUUUGGGUUGUUUCGCAUUUAUCGCAAGGCCAUCGAGCCAAAGCCCGCGAGGCAAUUUCCAUCCGCACGAGACGAGGGAGCACAACGCACAACUUUGACUCCCCGGUUCCGGCCCACACAACACACACGGCGAUCCACCAGCAGAGAGAUCUGUCAGUUCAGUUCGGGUUGCUCCAUUAACACACCGGCGGCCCCCACCCAACCACCUCCACCACCACCACGGAGCAUCUGAUGUGGUUGUUGGGGGCCGGAGAAGAAGCAGCGGUGUGUUUGAGAAAAGACUACUUGUUUGUGUGAGGAACACGGCGGACACCACGGAGCAUGAAGCCCUCUCGUCCAUGUGACCGGACGUCUUUCCUCCAGUGACUCCGGCUCUUUGUCUCCCUCUACAGGAACAGGAUCUCCCAGGAGAUGACGAACAGACGUUUAUGUACCUUUCAUUUCUUGUUUCUUUUCCAUCGACGUUUCUUCGGUUUCACGGUUCCUUUCACGGGCCUCCGAGCUGAGCAGCUCCCCCCCCCCGUGUUCUGUUUGGACCCCUGCUUUUAAAUGCCGCUCUCAAUGGGGGGAGGCAGAAAUCAGUAGUUCUCCCUUUGUGAGGAACACGUUUGGCUCGAUGAGACUUGAGGACGCUGGUGGAUUUCAGUGAUUGCCAUCGAUUUAGACUUCACUCCGUGUCAAGAGGCAAGCAGCGGAUUGUAUUUUGGGGACUCAUUUGUUCUCACACCGCGGGAAACCAAAGGCAGGAUCGAUUCAUUUCCUGCGGGAGCCACAUGUUCAACCAGGGGCAAUCGUCAAUCAUCGGGAGCUGUUUGUGUCACGUUGAAAGGCCGACGAAGAAGGAACUAAACAUUCUAUUAGACGAAAUACAACCGAAAAUUUGGAGAAGGUUUAGCGGUGGACAGGUGAGCAAAUUUCUGCUUCACAAAACUGCUUCACUCACUGUGUUGAUUUCUAUUGUUUUUUUUGUUCUUUUCAAAGGCUUUGUUCCAUUUGUUUGCAGUGGCCCUGAUGAAAUAACAGCACAAAGGGGGAGUGCUCAUUGUUCAGCUGUCUGGCCUGCAACUUUUAGGAUUUUUGUUUCAGUCUCCCCUUGACAGUUUGUCAUUUUGGACUCCAGCCGGCAAAAAGCUCUAAAGCCUCCAACGUAAACUACAUAUCUGCUCUGCAUCAGGCAGAGUAACAAAGUGGUGCAUUUAGCGGCUAGAGAGCCUGAUAUUUGCCACAGCGGUUGAUUGAGGCAGAGAAAAGAGCAGAGUGAAUAUUAUGAAUGUAUAAACAUUUUGUCUAUUCUCUGGCCGUCCCUCCCUAGAUCGGUUGAAUUUACUGCAAACGGAUUUGUACUCUUUGUUCGUUCAGCUGCCUGCUUGGUAUCUUGCGUUUGGUUCUACGUCGUAAAACGUCUGCUCUGUUUGGUACCCGGGCCGAACUGUCGAGGUGAUGAAAGCAGGAGCCUCACAGCUGGAAAAAGUCUGAAAGGCCGUCUUCCCCUGAAGGUGGUUCCAGCGGCUCCACUACGAAAAUAAAAAAAGAACUCGGUCUCACCGAGAGAAAACUUUAAAAUAAUGAGCUACAACGCACGCUUGGAUAAAAUCAUUACAAACCAAGAACCUAUUUUUUGGAAGUGAACCGAUUUCAUUCACAAGGUUAAAAAAAACUUUUUCGAUGUUGAAUUUCCCUCUUCAUUGCAACCAAAACACAGAAGACGUCCAUUGAAAUCCUCUGUAAAAUGUCAAACAAGUUUUAGGAACAUUCCCUGUGUCAUAAUAACGCAUUUUACGUUUUCCUCAAUCAUUCUACAAAGAAAGAGAACCUCUGCACACACAUUGUUUAGUUUUUGAACAUUUUUUCGUGCAUCAAUAAUAAAACACAAUCUAUUACAUUUGAAUAUUAUUUUAAAUGUAAUAGAGUCUGGCGGCUCUAUUAUCAGAUAUUAUCAGUCUAAUAUCAGACAAUGCUUAUUGGAAUGAUGGGUAUGUGAUGUGGCCAAAUGUCACCUUUUAACUUGGAUACUGUUGUAUUUGCUUAUACUGCAUACAAAUAAACAAGUAUUCACCAGGA